UACGUAGGGGGCAAGCGUUAUCCGGAAUUAUUGGGCGUAAAGAGUACGUAGGUGGGUUUGUAAGCGCAAGGUGAAAGACCGGGGCUCAACUCCGGUGAGCCUUGUGAACUGCAAGUCUUGAGUGCAGGAGGGGAAAGUGGAAUUCCUAGUGUAGCGGUGAAAUGCGUAGAUAUUAGGAGGAACACCGGUGGCGAAGGCGACUUUCUGGACUGUAACUGACACUGAGGUACGAAAGCGUGGGAGCAAACAG
rnacentral:rRNA from 1 species